AAACAAAUGAAUCGAAGUUUGUUCGUGUAGCAUUUCAGUUGCAAAAGAAUUGUGACUUCGGAGAACAGUUUCUUAUAGUUGGAGAUGAUCCUACGCUUGGUUCAUGGGACCCUUUAGAAGCAUUGCCGAUGACAUGGUCUGAAGGACAUAUAUGGACUGCUGAGAAGGUGAGUAAAAUCUGAUCAGAAUUUGAAAGUAUUUUCUGAUAGAGAGAACACAAAGAAAUUUUGUUUGUGCUUUCCCUUAUGUAAUCAGGAUAUGCUUGUUGGGAAG
rnacentral:sRNA from 1 species